rnacentral:rRNA from 1 species
AGGGUAAUUUCGUCAAAGUAAUUUAGCCGCACCGCACCAUACCGCCGCUCCCGUCCCCCAAAUCCCCAAAUCCCCUCGAACCCUAGCCGCCCCUCUGCCCUCCCCACGAACCCUAGCCGCCCCUCGAGCACGAGCCGCAGCCGAUCCAGCCACCGGCAGGGCGGCGCGAGCAGCGCCCGGUCCUACCACCGGCAGGGCGGCGCGACCUUAACCUCUCCAGGUUGCAGAGGUGGAAGGAAGCAGAGGACCGCUGCUCACGGAGGUGCCCAAGUACAAGCAGACCAUCUUCUCCGUCCUCCCCUAGGCCAUUAACUCGUCCAGCAAGCAAGGCAAGUAAACCAGGCAACAACCAAGCUGACUAGCACAGUUCCAGUUCCCGUGAGAUCUACUAUGACAAAGAUGACAAGGAGCAAGAAACUUGCAGAAGCGCCAACUACUGAAUAUGAGAAGAUUAGGGCUAAAAAUAUGAUGAGGAACAACCGAAUAUUCCAAUCACUUGGCAUCGCUGCAUUAGGUAUGAUGGUUAGGAACUCAAAUCAAAUGCAGCAAGGUAGUGCCAUCACCGGUGGGGACUCAGCUUCUGCCAUAACACAACAAGGCUCAAGCUCUGAGUACAGUCCUGACGAUGAGGUCAUUGAGGAGGAUGAAGUUGAUGAUAUUGUAGUGGAGAAGGAAGAUAAGGUUUCUAAGAAGGCAAGGAAGUCAAUCAAUAAAAAGACUAAGAAGAGUUUUGAUAAACCUUCUGAGAUGGCUCCAGGAAAAACAAGGGUGAUUGCUCCAGCCUCAGGAGGCUCAAAGAGGGUGCUACCUGGUUUGAACUCGGAUGAACAUGAAUCUGCUCGAGUCACUAGGCAAAAAACAAAGUUGUCUCUAACCAACCAUGAAGAAAGUCUUGUGCAAAUGGAUGUAGGAAGCCCAGCAAAUGUGGAUGAAGGAAGCCUCCAUGUGCACGUGGAUGUAAGAAGCUCAAUGCACGAAGAUGAAAGAAGCCUGAUGCAUGAGGGUGAAGUAAGCCUGAUGCAGAUGGGUGAAACAAGCCAUGUCCCAUCUACUCUGUGCACAAAUCAGCCAAUUGAAGUUCCUGAGUUCUCUGACCAACAGCUUGACCAACAACGGCAAUUGGACGUUGAAGCCAAGUAAUAAUAACACAUGAUCAGUUAUGAAAUCAUGAAAUGCAAACUUGAUUUAUGUUAACUGUAUGAAUGUCUCAAGAAGAAGCAUUUUGACAAUGUACCGGCCAAUCUAGUGAGUGUCAAAUCUCCUGAUAAGAAUGUGACAGAUGCGGAGUGGCAAAGGCUGGUCAAGAUGUGGUCUAUCGCAAGGCACAAGGAAACCUGUCAGUCGAACAAGGAGAACCGUUCCAAAGUUAAGUUCCAUCAGAAAACUGGUUCUCGCCCCUACAUUUCCCAUGUGCAUGCUUUGAAAGAGGCUCGUAAGCAUGAAGAGUUGACUGCGUUUGAUCUAUUCAAGGAGUGCCACAAUGGCAAGAAGACUCGUUUCUCUGAGCCAGUUAAGAAGGCGAUAGCUGACAUGGAAAAAGCUAUGGAACAAGGGGUACCAGAAGGUGGAGAACCAAAGAAUGUUGCUGCUGUUGUUGCUGACGUUCUCACUAAAGAAUGUCCCUCCAGCACAUUCCUUCAAAAUGUUGGCCUUGAGUCGAGCUCCAAGAAGAAGUUCAACAAAUCUGUAGCUGCUUUGGAUGCUCAUGUACAAGAACUAGAGUACAGGCUUGAGAAGGAGAGGCGAGUCGCUAAGCUGAUGCGAGAGGAGCUUGUUGAGGUCAAGAAGAAAUCAGAGGAGACCGAAGCUGCACGCGCCGUAGAGUACCAGUUGUUACUGCAGAGAGUUGAGGCCACCGAUGCUAGAUUUGCGCGUCUCAUGGAUCUAUUCGAAGGUAAAAUAGUUUAGUACGGCGUGGUUGAUGUUGGCUUUGGGACUUUUGAUGUUGAGUUGUUUUGACCUGGGGUUGAUGAGUUUCUUUGACUGGACAUGUGAACCACAAUAUGGACCAGAGAUUGGCUGUGGUUUGAUGAGGUUGUGUUUUGGUUGGUGCGUCUUAAUCUUAUGAACAUGGUGUACUGAUACUAAGCUACAGGCUAUGUUAUUUUGGUUGGUGCAUCUUAUGAACUUGUGGUGUAAUGAUACUGUUGGGCCUAAGUUAAUGAAAUCUUGGAGAAUUGUAUUGGUUGACUGCC